rnacentral:rRNA from 1 species
GACGGAGGAUGCAAGUGUUAUCCGGAAUCACUGGGCGUAAAGCGUCUGUAGGUGGUUUCAAAAGUCCACUGUUAAAGAUUGAAGCUUAACUUCAAAAAUGCCGUGGAAACUUUGAAACUUGAGUAUGAUAGGGGUAGAGGGAAUUUCCAGUGGAGCGGUGAAAUGCGUAGAUAUUGGAAAGACCACCAAUGGCGAAGGCACUCUACUGGGCCAUUACUGACACUGAGAGACGAAAGCUAGGGGGAGCGAAUGGG